rnacentral:rRNA from 1 species
CGUGAAAUUGUUGAAAGGGAAACGCUUGAAGUCAGUCGCGUUAUCUGGGGAUCAGCCUUCCUUUUGGUUGGUGUACUUCCCAGUUGACGGGUCAGCAUCAGUUUUGACCAGUGGAUAAAAGCUAGAGGAAUGUGGCAUCUUCGGGUGUGUUAUAGCCUCUGGUUGUAUACAUUGGUUGGGACUGAGGAACUCAGCACGCCGCAAGGCCGGGUUUUUAACCACGUUCGUGCUUAGGAUGCUGGCAUAAUGGC